UACAGAGGAGCCAAGCGUUGUCCGGAUUGACUGGGCGUAAAGCGCACGCAGGCGGACGCGCGCGUGGGGUGUGAAAUCUGGCCGCUUAACGGCCAGGCGCCAUCCCAUACGGCGCGACUGGAGUGAUGCAGAGGUCGAUGGAAUUGCCGGUGUAGUGGUGAAAUGCGUAGAGAUCGGCAGGAACACCCAGGGGGAAACCAGUCGACUGGGCAUCUAGCUGACGCUGAGGUGCGAGAGCGUGGGGAGCGAACCGGAUUGAGAGUACCCGUG
rnacentral:rRNA from 1 species